GGUAAGAAGUGGAAACAAUAUACUCAUUGUGCCCAGUGGAACCCCUGACGCUCAGUGGGAGCUCACAGGAAUGAUGGUUUCUGAAAACCAGAAACAGAUGGACUAACCCAAGCUCCUCAGAGCAGACGGCAGAUCCACCUCCCCGCGUGGAGGAACGGGGCUCUCCCGCAGAGUCCUGUAGUCCUGCGAUGAUUUACUCCAGCUCUGCCCCAGGAUGAACCCGCACAGAACUUGAACCCAGUAGCCUUUCCAUUGGGCCCAUUAUCAACAACUGUUGGAAAGAUGUGUCCUUGUCUGAUGCUUGGGGGCACAGGUAUCGGCCCAACUGCCAGACACCAGACUGCACCUUAAGGAGCAAAGUCCACGGACGUACGCAGAAGUGAGCAGGAGAGGCACGGAUCCUCCUCGCCCACAGCUCAUUCCAGAGCCUGUUCUGUAGCAUCGAAACUGGCAAAACCGGGGCAGACGAGCCCUUCCAGGAGCACCCAGCUCAACGAAGCCUGCGAUGCCCGACUUUGAAGAUACAGGAGAGCACAGAGAAGCCGAGCCUCUUCCUUGUGUAGAGAGAAGCGGACAUUGGACCCUGGAAUUUGGCAAACGAAGCUUUGAAAGGAGGUGCCAUGAACACCGAGGAGACAGAGAUUACCUACUCUGGGGGAAGCCAUGUUGUGAGCUAAGUUGUAAACAACCCUAGGAAGAGGCCCACCUGGCAAGGGGCUGAAGUGUCUGGUCAACUACAAGCAAAUGAGUGAGCAUGGAAGUGGAUUCUCCAGCUCCAGGUGCUCAAUAAAUGAAUGCCAACCAGACAUCAGGCAUUCUGCUCUGCUGGGGCCACUUGGAGAUGAAUAAAACAUGGUCUUGGUCUUGUCAUGGAUUGGAGGGGAGAAAAA